GACGAACCGUGCGAACGUUAUUCGGAAUCACUGGGCUUAAAGCGCGUGUAGGCGGGACGGCACGUCGGCCGCUGAAAUCCCCCGGCUCAACCGGGGAAGGGGCGCCGAUACGACCGCCCUGGAGGGGCGUAGGGGGACCUGGAACUUCCGGUGGAGCGGUGAAAUGCGUUGAGAUCGGAAGGAACGCCCGUGGCGAAAGCGGGGUCCUGGACGCCUACUGACGCUGAGACGCGAAAGCCAGGGGAGCGAACGGG
rnacentral:rRNA from 1 species